rnacentral:piRNA from 1 species
UGAAAAUGAGUCUUCGUUUCC